UAAAACCAGGUUCAGUAUCAGAACCAGGCCGAGGUGGGCAUCAGAAUCAGGUUUGGGUGGGGAUCAGAACCAGGUUCCGUAUCAGAACAAGUUUUAGGGGGGCAUUAAAACCAGGUUUAAUAUCAGAACCAGGUUUAAUAUCAGAACCAGGUUUAGGGGGAAAUCAGAACCAGGUUUAGUAUCAGAACCAGAUUUAGGGGGGCGUUAAAACCAGGUUUAGGUGGGGAUCAGAACCAGGUUUAGUAUCAGAACAAGUUUUAGCAUCAGAACCGGGUUUAAUAUCAGAACCAGGUUUAGGGGGCAUCAGAACCAGUUUUGGGGGGACCAGAACCAGUUUCUUCCCCCAGAGGUGCUGGGCACUGAACCAGGGAAUGGGCACAGCCCCAAGAGCACCAGGAGUGUCUGAGGCAGUGUUUGCUGCACUUUAAUCAUUAAAUUAUUCAUUAAUUAAUUACACUGAAACGUGGGAUGCCCUGGAGUGCUCCCCACCCAAUUCCCACUGGGAUUCACACCCUGCUCCAAAGCCUUCAAUGCCUGAAAAGCUUUUGGCACAGCCCAGGAGCUCAGGAUGGAGCUCCCAAAAAUCCUUCAAGAUAUUCCAGCUCUCCCAGGGACAAUCUGGAAUUUAAUAAUUUGGGGCUCCCAAAAAACCUCAAACCUAUUUCUGUUCUCCCAGGGACAAUCUGCUUCUGGAAUUCAAGAAUAUCCCAAAAAUUCCUGCUCUCCCAGGGAGAGAUCCAAGGAAAAUCUGACUCUGGAAUUCAAUUUGGAGUUCCCAAAAAUCCUUCAAAGCUAUUCCUGUUCUCCCAAGGA